rnacentral:rRNA from 1 species
GACGAGGGAUGCAAGCGUUAUCCGGAUUCAUUGGGUUUAAAGGGAGCGUAGGCGGACUUGUAAGUCAGUGGUGAAAUCUGUGGGCUUAACCCACAAACUGCCAUUGAUACUGCAGGUCUAGAGUACAGUUGCCGUUGGCGGAAUAUGACAUGUAGUGGUGAAAUACUUAGAUAUGUCAUAGAACACCGAUUGCGAAGGCAGCUAACGAAGCUGUAACUGACGCUGAGGCUCGAAAGUGCGGGGAUCAAACAGG